UACGUAGGGUGCAAGCGUUAAUCGGAAUUACUGGGCGUAAAGCGUGCGCAGGCGGCUUUGCAAGACAGAUGUGAAAUCCCCGGGCUCAACCUGGGAACUGCAUUUGUGACUGCAUGGCUAGAGUGCGGCAGAGGGGGAUGGAAUUCCGCGUGUAGCAGUGAAAUGCGUAGAUAUGCGGAGGAACACCGAUGGCGAAGGCAAUCCCCUGGGCCUGCACUGACGCUCGAUGCACGAAAGCGUGGGGAGCAAACAGG
rnacentral:rRNA from 1 species